rnacentral:rRNA from 1 species
UCUCCUACGGGAGGCAGCAGUGGGGAAUAUUGCACAAUGGGCGAAAGCCUGAUGCAGCAACGCCGCGUGAGCGAUGAAGGCCUUCGGGUCGUAAAGCUCUGUCCUCAAGGAAGAUAAUGACGGUACUUGAGGAGGAAGCCCCGGCUAACUACGUGCCAGCAGCCGCGGUAAUACA